rnacentral:rRNA from 1 species
AGAACUCUGCGCGGCAUGCCUAACACAUGCAAGUCGAACGAACUCUUCGGAGUUAGUGGCGCACGGGUGCGUAACGCGUGGGAAUCUGCCCUUGGGUACGGAAUAACUCAGAGAAAUUUGUGCUAAUACCGUAUAAUGUCUUCGGACCAAAGAUUUAUCGCCCAAGGAUGAGCCCGCGUAAGAUUAGCUAGUUGGUGGGGUAAAGGCCUACCAAGGCUACGAUCUUUAGCUGGUCUGAGAGGAUGAUCAGCCACACUGGGACUGAGACACGGCCCAGACUCCUACGGGAGGCAGCAGUGGGGAAUAUUGGACAAUGGGCGAAAGCCUGAUCCAGCAAUGCCGCGUGAGUGAUGAAGGCCUUAGGGUUGUAAAGCUCUUUUACCCGGGAUGAUAAUGACAGUACCGGGAGAAUAAGCUCCGGCUAACUCCGUGCCAGCAGCCGCGGUAAUACGCUAACUCCGUGCCAGCAGCCGCGGUAAUAC